rnacentral:piRNA from 1 species
UAGCUAGGCUCGACAAAGAUCUUCAUGGU